GGGCCCGCACAAGCGGCGGAGCAUGCGGAUUAAUUCGAUGCAACGCGAAGAACCUUACCAAGGCUUGACAUACACGAGAACGGGCCAGAAAUGGUCAACUCUUUGGACACUCGUGAACAGGUGGUGCAUGGUUGUCGUCAGCUCGUGUCGUGAGAUGUUGGGUUAAGUCCCGCAACGAGCGCAACCCUCGUUCUAUGUUGCCAGCACGUCAUGGUGGGAACUCAUAGGAGACUGCCGGGGUCAACUCGGAGGAAGGUGGGGAUGACGUCAAAUCAUCAUGCCCCUUAUGUCUUGGGCUUCACGCAUGCUACAAUGGCCGAUACAAAGGGCUGCAAUACCGUAAGGUGGAGCGAAUCCCAAAAAGUCGGUCUCAGUUCGGAUUGAGGUCUGCAACUCGACCUCAUGAAGUCGGAGUCGCUAGUAAUCGCAGAUCAGCAACGCUGCGGUGAAUACGUUCCCGGGCCUU
rnacentral:rRNA from 1 species